rnacentral:rRNA from 1 species
UUGUGCGACGCAGCUAACGCAUUAAGCGCCCCGCCUGGGGAGUACGAUCGCAAGAUUAAAACUCAAAGGAAUUGACGGGGCCCCGCACAAGCAGCGGAGCAUGCGGCUUAAUUCGACGCAACGCGAAGAACCUUACCAAGGCUUGACAUAUACAGGAAUAUGGCAGAGAUGUCAUAGCCGCAAGGUCUGUAUACAGGUGGUGCAUGGUUGUCGUCAGCUCGUGUCGUGAGAUGUUGGGUUAAGUCCCGCAACGAGCGCAACCCUCGUUCUGUGUUGCCAGCAUUUAGUUGGGGACUCACAGGAGACUGCCGGGGUUAACUCGGAGGAAGGUGGGGAUGACAUCCAAUCAUCAUGCCCCUUAUGUCUUGGGCUGCACGCAUGCUACAAUGGCUGGUACAAACGGCUGCGAUACCGCAAGGUGGAGCGAAUCCGAUAAAGCCAGUCUCAGUUCGGAUUGGGGUCUGCAACUCGACCCCAUGAAGUCGGAGUUGCUAGUAAUCGUAGAUCAGCAACGCUACGGUGAAUACGUUCCCGGGGCUUGUACACACCGCCCGUCACAUCACGAAAGUCGGUAACACCCAAAGUCAGUGGCCCAACC